rnacentral:rRNA from 1 species
GAUGAACGCUAGCGGCAGGCUUAAUACAUGCAAGUCGAGGGGCAGCAUAGUGUAGCAAUACAUGGGUGGCGACCGGCAAACGGGUGCGGAACACGUACAGAACCUUCCUUCGAGCGGGGAAUAGCCCAGAGAAAUUUGGAUUAAUACCCCAUAGGAUAGUGGAGUGGCAUCACUCAGCUAUUAAAGAUUUAUCACUUGAAGAUGGCUGUGCGUCUGAUUAGGUAGUUGGUGGGGUAACGGCCCACCAAGCCAGCGAUCAGUAACUGGUGUGAGAGCAGGACCAGUCACCCGGGAACUGAGACACGGGCCCGACUCCUACGGGAGGCAGCAGUAAGGAAUAUUGGUCAAUGGACGCAAGUUUGAACCAGCCAUGCCGCGUGGAGGAUGAAGGUCCUCUGGAUUGUAAACUUCUUUUAUCUGGGACGAAAAAAGGCCUUUCCAGGUCGUCUGACGGUACCAGAUGAAUAAGCACCGGCUAACUCCGUGCCAGCCGCCGCAGUAA